rnacentral:rRNA from 1 species
GAUGAACGCUGGCGGCGUGCCUAAUACAUGCCAGUCGAGCGAACAGACGAGGAGCUUGCUCCUCUGACGUUAGCGGCGGACGGAUGAGUAACACGUGGAUAACCUACCUAUAAGACUGGGAUAACUUCGGGAAACCGGAGCUAAUACCGGAUAACAUGUUGAACCGCAUGGUUCAACAGUGAAAGACGGUCUUGCUGUCACUUAUAGAUGGAUCCGCGCCGCAUUAGCUAGUUGGUAAGGUAACGGCUUACCAAGGCAACGAUGCGUAGCCGACCUGAGAGGGUGAUCGGCCACACUGGAACUGAGACACGGUCCAGACUCCUACGGGAGGCAGCAGUAGGGAAUCUUCCGCAAUGGGCGAAAGCCUGACGGAGCAACGCCGCGUGAGUGAAGUAGGUCUUCGGAUCGUAAAACUCUGUUAUUAGGGAAGAACAAAUGUGUAAGUAACUAUGCACGUCUUGACGGUACCUAAUCAGAAAGCCACGGCUAACUACGUG